ensembl:misc_RNA 7SK 7SK RNA
GGAUGUGAGCUGCUCUAGCUGCAACAUCUGUCACCCCACUGAUCACCAGGUUGAUUCAGCUCAUCUGGCUGGUUAGGUGGGUAUCCCCUCCCUCCUCACUGCUCUACCAGUGUCCCUCCUGAAGCUGCACGCUCAAAGAGGAUGAAGAAGACAAACUUCCCCAAUCAAGGAGGGCUGUUCUUCAAUCAAGGGUACAGGAGGAGCUGUGCUUCCCUGAUAGAACCUCCAAACAGGCUCUCAAGACACUAUUCUAAAUAUGGGUAAUACAAUGGUGAACAAAACAGACAAAGUCCCUGCUCUUAAGAGACCCCCCACUUUUACUGGGAGAGG